rnacentral:tRNA from 1 species
GUCCCCGUAGUUUAAUGGAUAAAACAGGAGGCUUCUAUCCUCUCGAUCCGGGUUCGAGUCCUGGCGGGGACACAA